rnacentral:rRNA from 1 species
GACGAACGCUGGCGGCGUGCCUAAUACAUGCAAGUUGAGCGCUGAAGGUUGGUACUUGUACCAACUGGAUGAGCAGCGAACGGGUGAGUAACGCGUGGGGAAUCUGCCUUUGAACGGGGGACAACAUUUGGAAACGAAUGCUAAUACCGCAUAAAAACUUUAAACACAAGUUUUAAGUUUGAAAGAUGCAAUUGCAUCACUCAAAGAUGAUCCCGCGUUGUAUUAGCUAGUUGGUGAGGUAAAGGCUCACCAAGGCGAUGAUACAUAGCCGACCUGAGAGGGUGAUCGGCCACAUUGGGACUGAGACACAGCCCAAACUCCUACGGGAGGCAGCAGUAGGGAAUCUUCGGCAAUGGACGAAAGUCUGACCGAGCAACGCCGCGUGAGUGAAGAAGGUUUUCGGAUCGUAAAACUCUGUUGGUAGAGAAGAACGUUGGUGAGAGUGGAAAGCUCAUCAAGUGACGGUAACUACCCAGAAAGGGACGGCUAACUACGUG